GCGGAUGUGGCGGAAUUGGUAGACGCGCUAGACUUAGGAUCUAGUGUCUUUAGACGUGUGGGUUCAAGUCCCACCCUCCGUACCA
rnacentral:tRNA from 1 species